AGAAAAGACGGGGUCCAGAGCUUCAAGCAAAAAGAGCAGCCUCAAGAACACUUUCAGUUUGCUUAGUAGUAGUACCAACACCAUUUGUAGAAUAGCCACUAUAUCGAGGAUGAUGUAAUCGUCAAGAAUAAUAAGGAUCUAUCAAGGGAUAAUGGUGAGGCCAACAAUACAACUGGUGGUGUGCGAAGUGAUGUGAUUUCUUACUCGUUCCACCCGAAGGGAACACUUCUCUGCAACCACAAGGUUCUCAUUCAAACGCGACAGAAGGCUAAACAGAGAACUACCGACGGAGGUUUCUUUUAAAGGAUCCCUAACAUAAGAAUUCGUUCCAUAAAUUCAUAAAUAAAACACCAAGUGAAGCAUGAAACUACAUCAUUUCCACAACACAAUUUUCAUAUGGUUUUCCCUUUUGGAAGGCCCCGAAGGGAUUAGAAAAAAGGAUACCUUAUUAUCAGGCGAUGAUAGCACUUUCGAUAUGGUGGCUAUUCUACAAGUGGUGGUGUUACUACUAGUAAGGAAAGUGAGAGUAGUAUGGAGGCUGCUCUUCUUGCUCGUAACUCUGGACUCCGCCUCUUCUGUGUGUGUUCUCCACAGCGUUGAGUCCUCCUUCUUUUAUAGUGUAGGAGGGAUGCUAGAUGCUCCCUUCUUUAUUCUUCCGCGUCAUACUUGGAGACUGAAGUACACCAUAGCUUGAUGCCUUAUGCAUUGCUGAAGUGCCCCAAAGUUUGCACAAUCAUGCCUUGCAUGACUCCCAUGCUAGACUAAUGUUUAUGUGCACACCGAGAACUUUGUCUAGACUGAGAACUUUGUCUGGACCGAGGACUUUGUUAUGGCUGAAAUCCUGGCUUCUCGUUGCAUGAUAAGAUAUAUUUAUCUUAUUUUAUUUUUAUUUUUUAUUGAGAGUCUUCCCCGCCAAUAUAUUUGAUAAUACAUUAUCAAUAUUCAGAUUCGCUCC